CUCCUCCACCCUGCUGAGCCACAGGGGGCGAGCUGAAGCCCCCACCACACUCCGCAGACGGGUGAAGGGUCAGGCCGGCCAGCCCGUGUAGGAUGGGGGAAUCGCCACUGGAAUUGACGUCGACGUCACUGAGCUUAAACAACCCAAACCAAACUGCCCCAGAGAGAGAGACCCACAGCGCUGCUCAGCUGGAGCCCCGCAAAGGAAGACGCCUCCCCCUACCCCUUCCCGAGCGUGUGGGAAGGAGGUCAGAAUUGGGGAGCAUGGAGGUGCCAUGGGGCACCUAUGGAUGGUCAGCCCAAGCAGGGGAGAAAGGAUCUCAAGCCAGAAGGGAAGUGAGAGGGCCUGUGCCCCCAACAUGAAGAAUCUGGGGUGGAACCUUGCUUAACAGAGUCAGGUGAGCAUUACCUCAUCGCAGUCCCAAACUGGCUGAAGGAAACGGGGUGACUCAAUCGAGAGUCCAUCAGACCUGCUGCCCAGGCCAGUAUCCUUUGUUCCUGUGAGGCUGGGCUGCGUUUGUCCCAUACCUGCCCUGAUGAGGUGUGAACUGCCUCUCUGCUCUUAUUUUAAGCCACGAGGAUACAUUUUCAGGCUCAUAACUACAUACAUGAAAUUAUAACCUAUAACUUUACUAUAACACUACUGUAACAACAAUGCCCAGUGCAUCAUGAGCCUUCCGAAGACACCCAACAUGACAAACUUUGCAUUGGAUACCACACAAUCAUUUUACAAGGAUGAACAUGGGGGUGCUGGGUGUUCCCCUGAGGUACAGAGCAUCACACCCGCUCCCUUCCCAGAGCUGGAUAAAGAACCCAGAUGGCUGGCUUUUACCACUGGUCUUUGUGCAGCAGGACUUUGGGGAAUCGGGGAGGGGUCAGAGAAGGGCAACUGGAACUAUCCGAAGGCUGGAAAACCUGCCCAAGAACCAAGGACUGAAGGAGCUCGAUCUUGUGAGUUUCUCCCAGAGAAGGAGACAAGCUGAUUAGAUCCUGGUCUGUGAGCACCUCUCUGGGGAGGAGCUUUCGGGGAGCAGAGAACUCAUCAACUCAACAGACAGGGCAGAGCAAGAGCUGAUUGCUGGUGGAUGAAGCCAGACAAAUCAAGACUGGGAAUAAGGGGCAGAUUUUCCCCAGGAAGGGGAAUUGACUCUGGGAAUCACUGCCCCAGGGAUAGGGCAGAGUCUCCAGCUCUUGGAGUUUUUCUAUGGAGAUCAGACGUCCCUAAAAGCACCGCUCUAGCUCGACCGUCAGAUCUGGGCUGGAAUCUGGGAUCCCUGGGUGGCGGUCUCCAGGCUGGGCAGACUGCAUGGGCACAACGGUCCCUUCUGGCAUGAAG